CAAGCAGACCGGCUCCCUGCACGACCGCUGCAACGAGACCGGCUACUGUGAAUGCAAGGAAGGAGCCACGGGGCCAAAGUGCGACGACUGCCUGCCCAACUACUACUGGAGACAGGGCUGCUUCCCCAACGUCUGUGACGACGAGCUCCUGCUCUGCCAGAACGGCGGCACCUGCUACCAGAACCAGCGCUGCAUCUGCCCUGUGGGCUUCAAGGGGGUCCUGUGCCAGCAGUCACGGUGCGAAGCUGACAAAAAGGACUGUGAUGGUGCCUCCAGCACACGGGCCGCCAUCAGCACCGUCCUCCUCAGCGCGCUGGGCCUCCAGCUGCGUGGCUGGGCUGACCUCUGAGCCGGGAGGAGGGAGCCCAGCCGAGGCACGGCACCGAGGAUUCAGGGAGUGCAAAGCAAUGGUGGAUCUCCCCACCAGCUCCUCUGCCUUCCUUCACGCUAGGACUUGCACAACGUCUUUCGGCCACUUUUCAAGCAGCUGAAAAGCAGGGCCGAAUCCUGACCACGGAACCACGCGGGGCGGCCGCAGCGCAGAGCUGAUGGCUGAGCAGCAAAGCAGGGACUGCAGCAGAGCCACACGGAUACGGCCGUCCUUCCUUCCCCGCUCCGCACAGGGCAACCCGGAGCCCUGGUGCCAUAGUGCCGCAAUCCAAGGGAGAAUAUUUUUUUUUUUUUUAUGAUUUAUUUACUUUGGUAGAGGUUGGGGUGUUCUUUUUCUUCCCUUCCUCUUAGUGUCCCGUCUCAAAAAAAAGCCUCUCAUGAUACCAUCAGAGUCCCGCAGCACCACAAGGAGGGGGAGGGAGGGAGGGAAGAGGGGACUCUGCUCCAUCCCGCUGCGUAGCCCCGCCGCCAGCCGGGCCUGGCUGCUCACAUACCGUUGCCUACAGCUCUAGUUGCUGCAUUGAUUUUGUAUCUCAUUGCCGGGUUUUGUUUUCUUGCACUUACGGAGAGCACAGGGGCCAUUAGGCGUACGGUGCGUAAGGAGGGCAGUGUCUUAUCCACACAUUUCCGUAUAGCGUACGGUUCAAAUCCUCUUUUUUUUUUUGUAGAGACUUAUUUUUGUUUGAAGUAAAUGUUAUUAAAGGAACCACAACUUAAAGGGACAUUUUGCCAUGAGCGUUUGAUUAUGGUGUAUCCUCCUACAGUAAAGCAACUAUCAAUUGCUGCUUGAUUGCCACGUUUUCCUUUCUGUGUGCACAGUUAAUUACAGGUAAAAACUCAUUUUUUUUUGAUUCAUAACGUCCUCUUGUGUUUUCUGAGUCACUGGCAAGGUGAGGGAGAGACGUAGCUUCAUCACUGAGGGGCGUUAAUUAUUUCUCCUAAUUACUUUGCUGAACUUAGUUGCACCACUAGCUGUAGACAAUGAACGAUAUAUUAAGCCCCAGCCUCG
rnacentral:lncRNA from 1 species